AUUCACAGAGUUAGAAGCCCUGAAUUUUCAUAGGAUUUAUUUUGUACCUUCUGACAUGCAGGUAUUUUACCAGUAAGUUUAGAGUAGUUGUUACUUCUUGCUAACUAUGUCCAAUCAGCAAAAUGUCAGCGAUGUAAAGAACCAGUAUGACGUCUUGUGGAAGGGAAAGGUGGUCAAGUUACCUAUGACUAAAUUAUAACAUAGAGCUGGAGAGUGGAUUCACCCCUGAGAAAGGGCAGUAAAGGUGUACUUCUGGCCUUUCCAGUUGAAACAGAAUUUCUUCUGGUGUUCUCUACUAACAGGUCAAGAGAAGAAUGCAUUUGCCAGACCAAUAGCUGCAUAUCAAGUGCCAGAGGAUGUGGUAAAUUGCUCAAGCAAUGAAACCGGUUCUGGUACCGGAGCUGCAAUUGGCAUCACCACCUGGUAUUCCUUGGCAUGGAUAUGUCACAACUCAUUUAAACAUUCACUCACUGAAGGAAAUCUUCAUUGUUUUCAAUUUGAGACUAUUACAAUUAACGCUGCUAUAAACAUUUGUGUACAAGUUUGUGUGUGAUGAUAUCCUUUUAUUUCUCUGGGAUAAAUGCCCAGAAGUGCAAUCACUGAUUUGUAUGGUAGUUGAAAAUUUGGUGUUUUAAAAGAAAUUGCCAAACUGUUUUUCAGAGUUGCUAUACUAUUUAUAUUGCUACCAGCAGUAUAUGAGUGCAAGUCACUGUUUCUGCAUCUUCAUUUGGUAUUGUCACUAGUUUUUUUUUGUUCACUCUAAUAGAUAUUACUUGCAAUAAACAUAUUUUCAUAUGUUUGUCAUCUAUAUAUCCACUUCAUAAAAUGUCUAUUAAUGCCUUUUGCCCAUUUUGUAAAUGUAUUAUUUAUUUUUUCACUAUUGAGUUUUGAUUGUUAUUUUCUAUUCUAG
rnacentral:lncRNA from 1 species